AGGCGGGGCGCUGCGGGACCGC
rnacentral:miRNA from 1 species